GGGUACACGAGCGGCGAACGGGUGAGUAACACGUGGGUAACCUGCCCUGUACUCUGGGAUAAGCCUGGGAAACUAGGUCUAAUACCGGAUACGACCUGCUACCGCAUGGUGGUGGGUGGAAAGUUCCGGCGGUAUGGGAUGGACCCGCGGCCUAUCAGCUUGUUGGUGGGGUAAUGGCCUACCAAGGCGACGACGGGUAGCCGGCCUGAGAGGGUGACCGGCCACACUGGGACUGAGACACGGCCCAGACUCCUACGGGAGGCAGCAGUGGGGAAUAUUGCACAAUGGGCGAAAGCCUGAUGCAGCGACGCCGCGUGAGGGAUGACGGCCUUCGGGUUGUAAACCUCUUUCAGCAGGGACGAAGCGCAAGUGACGGUACCUGCAGAAGAAGCACCGGCUAACUACGUGCCAGCAGCCGCGGUAAUACGUAGGGUGCGAGCGUUGUCCGGAAUUAUUGGGCGUAAAGAGCUCGUAGGCGGUUUGUUGCGUCGGCUGUGAAAACUUCACGCUUAACGUGGAGCCUGCAGUCGAUACGGGCAGACUUGAGUUCGGCAGGGGAGACUGGAAUUCCUGGUGUAGCGGUGGAAUGCGCAGAUAUCAGGAGGAACACC
rnacentral:rRNA from 1 species